GACGAACGCUGGCGGCGUGCUUAACACAUGCAAGUCGAACGGAAAGGCCCUGCUUUUGUGGGGUGCUCGAGUGGCGAACGGGUGAGUAACACGUGAGUAACCUGCCCUUGACUUUGGUAUAACUUCAGGAAACUGGGGCUAAUACCGUAUAGGAGCUCCUGCUGCAUGGUGGGGGUUGGAAAUUUUCGGCGGUUGGGGAUGGACUCGCGGCUUAUCAGCUUGUUGGUGGGGUAGUGGCUUACCAAGGCUUUGACGGGUAGCCGGCAUGAGAGGGUGACCGGCGACAUUGGGACUGAGAGACGGCCCAGACUCCUACGGGAGGCAGCAGUGGGGAAUAUUGCACAAUGGGCGGAAGCCUGAUGCAGCGACGCCGCGUGCGGGAUGACGGCCUUCGGGUUGUAAACCGCUUUCGCCUGUGACGAAGCGUGAGUGACGGUAAUGGGUAAAGAAGCACCGGCUAACAACGUG
rnacentral:rRNA from 1 species